rnacentral:rRNA from 1 species
CUGGUGCCAGCAGCCGCGGUAAUUCCAGCUCCAAAAGCGUAUAUUAAAAUUGCUGCGUUUAAAACGCUCGUAGUUGGAUCUCCGGUGAGGGGUGGUCGGUGACGGCAAUGUGCCGUCCACUGGCUUCGGCUCGGUCGUCGUUGCCUGGUCGGCAGCGGCUGUUAGCGCGGUCGCGAUCGGCUCUGGUGGCGUGCGGUCGGUCGAGUUACAUCCCCACCUAGACUAGCCGGCGUCUCCUCGGGUGCUCUUGGUUGAGUGUCCUGGGGCGGCCUGGCCCGUUUACUUUGAGCAAACAGAAGUGAUCAAAGCAGGCAGUUCACAAAUGUGUGCCACUGAACUGGUCGUGCAUGGAAUAAUGGAAUAGGACCUCGGUUCUGUUGUGUUGGUUUCUGGAGUCCGAGGCAAUGAUUAAGAGGGACAGACGGGGGCAUUCGUAUUGCGGCGGGAGAGGUGAAAUUCUUAAAUCGCCGCAAGACGCUCUACUGCGAAAGCAUUUGCCAAGAAUGUUUUCCUUAGUCAAGAACGAAAGUCAGAGGUUCAAAGAC